UGUACUUUCUUAAUUAACUUAUUCUUUCCAGUUUUGAUGACUUAGAAACUUGUUUCUCGUUCUCAUAUUUUGGAAACUUCACAUACUAACCUGCCGUUUGCUGAUAUUAAACUGUCCUUCUGAACUGAAUUCAAAGUACUGGUAGCCCCUGGUCUGUUUUCUCUGUAUGUUGAAAAAGUUCAACUUUGGAAGGAGUUAAUUUAUUAACCUCUUGGGUAUCUUAGGCAUUUAACUUAAAUCUCAGGCUGUCUUAAAAGUUACAUAAUUGUUUCACUGUUCCAACUGUUUAAAAUGUUGCCUUCACAAAACUAAAACUAUAAGUCUAUUUUUGUCUCUACUUUAAAAUAAAAUAAUUAAAUGACAAUGCACACCGUUAUUACACUGAAUGCAAUAGAAAAAAUUUUGGUUUCUGUUAUGGUAGAAAGAUUUCCUACAACAUUUGUACUGAGGAGUGAAAAAUCAUUUCAUUAAUCUGUUUCGAGACUAGUUUUGUAAAUGUCUUUUUUUUAAAGAAAAAAAGGUAGGUUUUCAAAAUGGAUAAUGUUUUAAAACUGUUUUGUUACAUUACUUAAUACUAUAUUUUGCGUGUAUUUUGCAGCAAUAUCCUAGUGCAGAGAAUAAAGGUACUCCAACAUUUAACCAGCAGGAUUAUGAGCACGCAGAAGAAUACCUGAAGAACCCACAAGCAAGACCACCAUUUGGAACGUUAAGCAAAUCUGAGUGGGAGGCUACAAGUAUUUACUUGGUAUUUGCAUUUGAAAAGUUGCCAUAAGAAAACAAACAAACCUCAAUUUCUCGCUGCAAUCUUUGGUACCUAAAGAAAAGAAGCUCCAGUACUAGAGAGGACUUAAUUCUAGCAGUUGUUUGAAACUGCUUUGAAGUACUGUAUUUCAAGACUGACAUUUAUGCCUGUGAAGUCUGGAAGAUAUCUUGGAGAUCUUGGAUUAGAACUGCAGCCCUUGGUGGGCCAGUGUUAGAUUUACAAGAAACGAUGUCUUGCUGGAAUGUUUUUUUUUUGUUAAUGUUCUUUGUCAAUACUUGUUUCACUUGCAAGUAUAUAUUUUUGUUUAAAACAUUUUUGGAUACCGUACUUUUUUACUUUUAGGAUGACCAAGUUCAAGAAAUGAUGUUAGAAAGUUGAAUUAGUUGUUAAUUAUAUUAUAAAAUAAAAUAUACGGUAAAGAA